AUUGAACGCUAGAGGUAUGCCUUACACAUGCAAGUCGAACGGAGUGGCGAACGGGUGAGUAAUGUAUCUGAACGUGCCCAGUAGCGGGGGAUAACUACGCGAAAGCGUAGCUAAUACCGCCUACUAUUGGAGCGGCCGAUAUCGGAUUCGCUAGUUGGUGGGGUAACGGCUCACCAAGGCGACGAUCCGUAGCUGGUUUGUGAGGACGACCCACCACACUGGGAAUGAGAAAAGGCCCAGACUCCUACGGGAGGCAGCAGUGGGGAAUUGUGGACAAUGGGGGAAACCCUGAUCCAGCCAUCCCGCGUGGGCGAUGAAGGCCUUCGGGUUGUAAAGCACGUUUGGCAGGAAAGCGGUACCUGCAGAAUAAGCACCGGCUAACUACGUGCCAGCAGCCGCGGUAAUAC
rnacentral:rRNA from 1 species